rnacentral:rRNA from 4 species
UGAAACAAGGGAAAACAUUGGCAGCAGUAAAGAAUUUUAUGCAAUAUACGAAAGUAAGACAUAGGCAGAACCUUUUAACCUGUCAAAUUAAGUGCCAGCAGACGCGGUGAAACUUAAGGGUUUGUUUUUUAGAAAAAGCAGAAAGCGUGUAAAGGUAAAACAUUUAAAAUAAAUAGAAUUUUUUUAGUAAUAGUGCAAUAUUAAAAGAAAAAAAAGAAUUUUUUAUGUGAAGACAAUUUAUUUUUUUUCUUUAACACGAAGGUUCUGGGAGCAAACAGGAUUAGAGACCCUGGUAGUCGAUACAGUAAAAGAAAGUCGCUUGAGUAGUACGGUCGCAAGAUUAAAAUUCAAAAAACUUGGCUGUUCAUUGUUAUUUAGAGGAGCGUGUUGCUUAAUUCGAUAAUCCGCGAGUUACCUUACCAAAACUAGCUUUUUCAGGUGUUGCAUGGCCGUCGUCAAUUUAUGUUUGAUACAAUAGAUUAAACCCUAGAAAGGUUGAAGUCAGGUAUUAUUGCCUUUAUGUUUUGGGGUUAAAUGCGCUACAUUUUUUUUUUAAUAAAAAAAAAGAGUUCGGAUUGUCUUUAAAAGAGGAUGAUGAAGUUGGAUUUAAUAGUAAUUGAAAAGUAGAGCGUUUCAAUGAAUUUGCCGCAAUGUUAGUACAAAUUGCCCGUCGCCUCUGCUGAUGGAAACAAAGUA